CACCAGCAAGACCGUCCUGGACACCCUGAGUUUUCAGAAGCUGGUUACACAAUCCAGUCUCUGAAAUAGAGUGAAGUGGGGAGCUGUAGCCCUGGCCGGUGUCACCCGGGAUCUACAGGAGAGCACCCUCCCUCAGGUGUGACGCAACCCAGGGCUCAGCCAUUGUGGGCACCCCCAACCCCGGCCUUGCACGUCCUGCAGCCUUUCAUGUCAGAACAAGGCAAAGUCACAAUGCUGUCAGAAAAAUGUAAAAGCCGCACCACUUGUAUGACGCACGUUAGCCCUGUAAAGACAGGCCUCUAGUUAUAGGGACCACAGACCCCUGGAUGGGCCACCGAGCCUGGCUCGCAUGCAUCACCCAGCACCACGGAGAUCAUGGCAGCCUUCGAACCCCGGUGUCACCCCCAGGACGGCGUUCAGACCCACGGGGAAGCCCGUCUCCAGCCCAAGCCCCUGCCAUCAAAACAAAGUUGAUUUGGAUUCAACUGGAUAUGCUAACAUUUCUACAGCAGGAGAGGGUGGGUCCGUCCUCCCUCCUUCCCUCCCUGCCUCUCUUGGUCUCUGCUGGAACCAGAGGGUUUAAGAAGGAUGAGAUUAUAUCUUAUUCCCUGAUUUUUGGCUCUCAAA